rnacentral:lncRNA from 1 species
AUGAAUGCAUUUGUGGCACUAAUUGAAAUAAACCCAAGGUCUGGCUUUUCAAAAGGAGUAAAACCUCUAGCACUCUCAAAAAAAGAAAAGAAAAGAAAAGAAAAGAAAAGAAAAGAAAAGAAAAGAAAAGCCUCUUUUACUGUCUUUAACCCCUGCUUGUUGUCUUUCAGUACAGCUGCAUUUGGAUGCAACAGAGCAAGGCAGAUUCUGCUUGCGGGAACUAGGGAUUCAUGGUGCAGGAUGCUGGGGACUGGGCUUGGUGUUGCUCCCUUCCUCAUCUAUAAAAGCAGCUCAUUAGGGGCAGUAGGGUUCUCAGGUAGCAGAGGGUUAUGUGGAGAUGGCCUGGGAGCACAUGGAUGGAGCGCUUCACAAACAUUAACUAAUGAAUCCUCACCACCUCUGUGUGAAGCUAAAGAGGCUGCUGGCACGACGGGGAGGGGAUGUAUCAGGGGAAUAACCUCCUCUUGGCCUGCUGAUGCUGCUGCUUUUCAGGCUGCUGUGGUAUUCAUUCUCCCUCCUCUGUCAGCCUUCCCCUAAUUGUGCUUCAGCCAGGUUGUGUGGAGGAGGAGGACGUCGGCAGCACGGAGAGGUGGUGCCCACGGUCAGCGCUGCAGCAGGAGCUGAUGCUCCCCUGGGCUUGUCUGCAGCUGGAGUGCUUGGGCUGUGGCUGUGAGAAACGAGGUUCUGGCUUUGGACAUAAACAUCUGUAAAAUGCAGGAGCCCAUACUAGGGCUGAAAUAGUUAUAGCAUCUGACUUUCUGCAAAUCACUUCAGGAGAAGCUAUGUCUUGCCUUCUGCAGUCUCCCAGCCAGGAAACCUCUCCUGAGCCUCCUUCACCUCCCCAGAAUGGGAUUUUGAGCUGAAAGACCAUCUCUCAUGGCCAGUGUACCUCUGCAGGAGCAGACUGCCUCCUGACAGAUGUGCUCACACUGCCCUCUCUGAGCUUUCUCCAUGCUGGCCCAUCCUUCAAGACCACCAUUUAAUGGAGGAGCUGAUAGAUGCUACUCUACAUCUACAUUUCUGUUGUAUCUACCUUUUUUUCACUGCAGCUGCCUGUGAUUGUAUAGUAUCUCUCCUGGAAGAAUCUGGAGAGAAGAGAGAGGUUUCAUUCUCUCCACAAGAAGUGGCCUUGACUCUCCAGAGAUCCCACCACCGUGCAUUUGCAGCACAUUCAUUCCCCCAUCUCCCACAGCAGGCCUGCCCCUGCUCUGAAUUUUAGGCUGCAAAGUCCUGUUUUGCCUGUUCUACCAGCAUUUUACCAUUUUCUUUUUCCCAGGAAACACCGACGGGGCACAAUGUCCAUGCCUUCUUCCACAGCUAGGUUGUCUUACCAUAACCACGAGA